AUAAUGUACUUAAAAUAUUGUGGUGUGUACACCUGAUGUGGUUCCUAUUCAUAGAACUUCUCUCAAUCAAUCUGAUUGUUCAAGCAUUAUGAUCAGUAUUCAUAUUUAUAAGUCAUGGGACUGAGGCAAGUGUUCAAAUCCUUUUCAAAUCCUCUGCUCUCAAUCCACCUGGCAUUUCCCAACCAAAGUGAUGCACAAGAUUUGUAAGAGCAAACUCAAUUGUGGCAACCACAAACUGCAUUCCUCCACAAAUCUUUCAGCAAACUUGAAAUCAUGUCAUCAGAAGUGUAAACAACUGUUCAUAAAUCUCUCUGGUAUGAACUUCAAAGCCCAAGAAUUCGACUCCCUCACUAUCAUGACUCUUGCUUUGAUGAUUACUAUUGUUUUUGUGUUGAUCACUGUCUUUGAUGGUUUCUCUCGAGGAGGUAAUAAUGGAGUUGAAGGAUGUUGUCUUAUCACUUCUUUCAUUAAUGACGCAAGGCCUCACUUCCUUUCAAACUCUGUUAAUUGAAGAUUGUCCAGGGCUGAAGUCUUUUUCAGAAGGCCUCCAACCGCUUCUUCCUACUCUCAUGAAAAUGACAAUCUAUGAAUGCUAUCUCAUGUUCAGUAAUAGGAGAAUAAUUAUGCAAGCCUGGAGGAGAUUAUUACCACAUUCUCUCUACUAUCUCAUGUUCAGUAAUAGGAGAAACAAGUUUCUCAGAAGGGUUCCUUUCCUUCUAUCAGCAAUUUUCAUUUGUUCUAUUGCAUGUUUCAUAUAUUUCUACAUCAACAAGCCUAAUACCAAGGAAAGAUGCAUCUUUGUGAUCAAUGUAGCGAAACUCUAGUGUUCUGUGCACAUGAUGGUUCUUAAUGAUAGAACUUCCCUGAAGCAUUCCAAUCCUUUUAUCACUGAAUAUAAUCCUGUGGGUGGAAUUGUUUUGGUACUUAAACAAGUCAUGGGAACUGAGUUAAAUGUCUGAAUCCUUUCAAAUCCUCUGCACUCAAUCCAUUCGGCAUUUCCUAACCAAAGUGAUGAUGUACAACAUUUGCAAGAGUAAAUUCAACUGUGGCAACUGGAAACUGGCAACUGCAUUCCUCCUUUUGCCCAACACCAAAUGAAAGAGACUCGAAAUCAUGUCAUCUGAAAUCUAAAUCACUGUUCAUAAAUUUAUCCGCCCUCCAACUCAGUGUCCUUGAUGAUGCUCUAAA